rnacentral:rRNA from 1 species
AUUGAACGCUGGCGGCAGGCCUAACACAUGCAAGUCGAACGGUAGCACAGAGAGCUUGCUCUCGGGUGACGAGUGGCGGACGGGUGAGUAACGUCUGGGAAACUGCCCGAUGGAGGGGGAUAGCUACUGGAAACGGUAGCUAAUACCGCAUAACGUCGCAAGACCAAAGUGGGGGACCUUCGGGCCUCACACCAUCGGAUGUGCCCAGAUGGGAUUAGCUAGUAGGCGGGGUAAUGGCUCACCUAGGCGACGAUCCCUAGCUGGUCCGAGAGGAUGACCAGCCACACUGGAACUGAGACACGGUCCAGACUCCUACGGGAGGCAGCAGUGGGGAAUAUUGCACAAUGGGCGCAAGCCUGAUGCAGCCAUGCCGCGUGUAUGAAGAAGGCCUUCGGGUUGUAAAGUACUUUCAGCGGGGAGGAAGGCGGUGAAGUUAAUAGCUUCACCGAUUGACGUUACCCGCAGAAGAAGCACCGGCUAACUCCGUGCCAGCCGCCGCCGUAA